rnacentral:rRNA from 1 species
AUUGAACGCUGGCGGCAUGCUUUACACAUGCAAGUCGAACGGUAACAGGCCGCAAGGUGCUGACGAGUGGCGAACGGGUGAGUAAUGCAUCGGAACGUGCCCAGUCGUGGGGGAUAACUACUCGAAAGAGUAGCUAAUACCGCAUACGAUCUAUGGAUGAAAGCGGGGGACCGUAAGGCCUCGCGCGAUUGGAGCGGCCGAUGUCAGAUUAGGUAGUUGGUGGGGUAAAGGCUCACCAAGCCAACGAUCUGUAGCUGGUCUGAGAGGACGACCAGCCACACUGGGACUGAGACACGGCCCAGACUCCUACGGGAGGCAGCAGUGGGGAAUUUUGGACAAUGGGCGCAAGCCUGAUCCAGCAAUGCCGCGUGCAGGAAGAAGGCCUUCGGGUUGUAAACUGCUUUUGUACGGGACGAAACGGCUCUGGUUAAUACCCGGGGCUAAUGACGGUACCGUAAGAAUAAGCACCGGCUAACUACGUG